GAGUUUGAUCCUGGCUCAGGAUGAACGCUAGCUACAGGCUUAACACAUGCAAGUCGAGGGGCAGCAUGGGAUUAGCUUGCUAAUCCUGAUGGCGACCGGCGCACGGGUGCGUAACGCGUAUCCAACCUGCCCUCUACUCCGGAACAGCCCGUCGAAAGGCGGAUUAAUGCCGGAUGGUGUCAGAUGCCCGCAUGGGCGUGUGACUAAAGGCAACGGUAGAGGAUGGGGAUGCGACUGAUUAGCUAGUUGGCGGGGUAACGGCCCACCAAGGCUACGAUCAGUAGGGGUUCUGAGAGGAAGGUCCCCCACAUUGGAACUGAGACACGGUCCAAACUCCUACGGGAGGCAGCAGUGAGGAAUAUUGGUCAAUGGGCGAGAGCCUGAACCAGCCAAGUAGCGUGCGGGACGACGGCCCUAUGGGUUGUAAACCGCUUUUGAUUGGGAACAAAGAGCGCCACGUGUGGUGCGUUGCGUGUACCUUUCGAAUAAGCAUCGGCUAAUUCCGUGCCAGCAGCCGCGGUAAUACGGAAGAUGCGAGCGUUAUCCGGAUUUAUUG
rnacentral:rRNA from 1 species